AUGUUAGCUUCAGCAGCACAUAUACUAAAAUUAAAACAUACAGAGAAAAUUAGCAUGGCCUCAGCACAAGGAUGGCACACAAAUUUGUGAAGCAUUCUAAAUUUUU
ensembl:snRNA U6 U6 spliceosomal RNA